CUUGCAUGAUUAAUAUGAUCAAUCGUAUAUAGAUUUAGAUGUUGCAUUUAUUCAUGUCAUAUGAUCCUUGUUUGGUAGUUUCUAGUUCAGAUCUAGGGCAUGCUAAUAGAUUAAAAUGUUUAAUCUGUAGUUUUUUGCUAAAAUUUUUUGAAAAUGCAUGCUUUGAACUAUCGAUUUUUUCUUCAUCCUCAAGUUUAACUGUCCUCUCACUGCCCCCUUCUUGGA
rnacentral:lncRNA from 1 species